UAGGUACUCCCUCCGUCCCGAAAUACUCGUCGGAGAGUGGAUAAAAUUGGAUGUAUCUAUAACUAAAAUACAUCUAGAUACAUCCAUUUUUCCGACAAGUAUUUCCGGACGGAGGGAGUACUUU
rfam:Triticum aestivum genome assembly, contig: Triticum_aestivum_CS42_TGACv1_scaffold_423301_5BS